rnacentral:rRNA from 1 species
UACGGAGGAUGCGAGCGUUAUCCGGAUUUAUUGGGUUUAAAGGGUGCGUAGGCGGAUCGUUAAGUCAGUGGUCAAAUUGAGGGGCUCAACCCCUUCCCGCCAUUGAAACUGGCGCUCUUGAGUGGGAGAGAAGUAUGCGGAAUGCGUGGUGUAGCGGUGAAAUGCAUAGAUAUCACGCAGAACCCCGAUUGCGAAGGCAGCAUGCCGGCUUCCGACUGACGCUGAAGCACGAAAGCGUGGGGAUCGAACAGG